CGGGAAACUGGGGGUAAUGCUCUAUAGUCCGGUCUGACUGGAAUGUCAUCCGGAUGAAAGGUCCGCCGCUUUAGGAUGAGUCUGCGGCCGAUUAGGUAGUUGUUGGGGUAAAAGCCCAACAAGCCCGUAAUCGGUACGGGUUGUGGGAGCAAGAGCCCGGAGAUGGAUUCUGAGACACGAAUCCAGGCCCUACGGGGCGCAGCAGGCGCGAAAACUUUACAAUGCGGGCAACCGUGAUAAGGAAACCCCGAGUGCCAGCACAGGCUGGCUGUCCACCAGUUUAAAAAACUGGUGAAGAAAGGGCCGGGCAAGACCGGUGACAGCCGCCGCGGUAACA
rnacentral:rRNA from 1 species